GAUGAACGCUGGCGGCGUGCUUAACACAUGCAAGUCGAGCGAGUGAGUUCUUCGGAACGAUCUAGCGGCGGACGGGUGAGUAACACGUGGGCAACCUGCCUCAUAGAGGGGAAUAGCCUCCCGAAAGGGAGAUUAAUACCGCAUAAAAUUAUCGAGUGGCAUCACAUGAUAAUCAAAGGAGUAAACCGCUAUGAGAUGGGCCCGCGGCGCAUUAGCUAGUUGGUGAGGUAACGGCUCACCAAGGCGACGAUGCGUAGCCGACCUGGGAGGGUGAUCGGCCACAUUGGGACUGAGACACGGCCCAGACUCCUACGGGAGGCAGCAGGGGGGAAUAUUGCAAAAUGGGGGAAACCCUGAUGCAGCAAAGCCGCGUGAGUGAUGAAGGUCUUCGGAUUGUAAAGCUCUGUCUUUGGGGACGAUAAUGACGGUACCCAAGGAGGAAGCCACGGCUAACUACGUGCCAGCAGCCGCGGUAA
rnacentral:rRNA from 1 species